GACGAGACGAUAAAAUUUUCGUAAAUAAGCCUUGCUUAAUAUAAACAACUUAUUUUCGUCCAUGGUUCAUCAAAAUUUCGUGUACAGACAUAAAUCAGUUAUCGAUUCACUAACAUAACAUCAAUUUAGAUAGCUCAACUUCCUAAAAUCUGACAUGAAAACACAAAUAAUUACAUACGUCUUCCUACCUACAUUUGUCAGUAAUGUAAACCUCUCCUUGAAAAAUCUCGCCUAUUAAUCAAUUCAACGUUUAGAUGGGGAGAAAAUCCAUCCCUUCAAACAGUUCGAUCUGUGAUGAUGGGGUCCUGUUUAUUUUGACGAGGAUUUCUCUCAGCCGUGGGUAUGGAACUGAUCAACGCGUCCGUGUACGGAUAAACUCUGACGUCAAUCAGCCUUACUGGACGCGAGAAGUCAUACUUCUUAAUAAUCCUGGCCGAAAGGCAUAAUUUAUUGUAUGAGUACCAGAAGUGCAAGGAAUAAGCUCCAGGACAAUCCCUAUAAUUAAGGAUAGUAGGGAGUUGUAAGCCGUUAGGUGGCACCUACAUAAUUUUUUGCAUUUCUUGCGGUGUAGUGAAAGAAAUGUUGAAAACGCGGAUGAAAUAAAGCGAAUACUUCACUCUUAAAUAAUUCUGUAUUUAGUACACAAUUGGAUCUGGGAAUGAUUUGGAGAAUUUGGAUCCAGAGAAAUAUGGCCAGUUUCUUAUAUUUAGGAACAAAGCGGAUGUGGCUGAAGAGCACUGCCAAAUCGAAUGUGAUGAAAAUGGAACCUUUUGGCUGUAUAGUUUGGGAUCCGCAAACACAUUUCUGAACGGAAAAUUAAUUCCAGAUUCUCCGGUCAUGUUAAAAUUUGGAGACAUAUUUCACUUUUCGCAUAUUAUUUCACAAUUAUGGGAUUCAGCAUUAAUUCAUCUAACCAAAACUGGAUAUCGAAAGAGGCUGUAUCGCAUGAACAAAUUGGGUGAGGAAUACGCCGUAUUCAAAUUUGACAAAAAGCCAACCAAUAGUUAUGAAAACAAACAACCUGGACAAACUUUCUACCAAUUCUCAAGACUGUCAAAAAUCCUUAAUUAAUCACCUCGUUUUUGAAAACCAUGUCAUACUCACAAAAAUAUUCGAACACCUCGCCAACCCGGACCCAGGGUUUCCCUGGAACCAGGAGGACCUUCUCAACUGUCGCCCAAGCAUGGAAUGACUCGGCUCGACUCGUUCUACAGAAAAAUUAUGUUGUAAAACUCACCGUAAUUGCUGACCACCUGAUCCACAAACCAAACUACGUAACGAACCGAUUUUUUUGGAAAACGUACCGCAUGAAGGGGCUAAAAUUUGACGCUAUGUAUAUCGAUAUCUGGCCACAGGAAUCCAGUUGCGAGACACGAGAUAACCAAGAUCGAAACAACGCAAUGACAAAAUUUAACCAAGAUUUAUCCGACUUUUUAAGUCAACCAGAUUUCCACCCUCUCAAAGUUCUCUGGAUAAAUGUAGAUUAUUUGACCCCAAUUUCAACCCUCUUCUCCAAAUUUUACCCCUCUCUUGAAAAACUCUACAUUCAGAUUAACAUGCUCUGGAUUGAUGAUGAAAACAAAUCUGGAUUCCCUGAAAAUUUAAAAUUUCCAAAGUUGAAAAAGUUAACGCUCGAGUUCUGCGAGAUUAAGCAGGGUGACCUGAAUAAAAUGUCGGACUCUAAAUCUCUCGCCCAACUCGUCCAAGCAGCGAAUACAGAAUAAAAUUGAGGAGCUUGUAUUGAAAAAUUACGUCAAACUUCCCCUCUCCGACUUCAGCUCGUUUAAGAAUUUGAGAAAAAUAGAGAUUCGCGGUCAGCGAGUGUGUCGCGUGGAAAUACUGAAUUUGCACGAUUUUUUCACCCAGUUCAUGACCUUACCCACCGGUCAACUUCGUUCAUUCCGGUUAAUCAAUGCAGACACUGAUAUCCAAUCCACCCCAGCGGAAGCAUUGCUGAACUUCAUUCAAAAACAGAGGCAGAGUUUGGAACACUUGGAACUCUCCGUCAACUCAAAAUUUCUUCAGCAGCCUGUAAAACUUCCGAGAUGCAUGCCAAAUUUGAAAACGUUAUGGGUGAGUGGGGACCGUGAUAGGACGGGGUCGGAUUAUUUGUGGGGGGUCAUUUUAGAGAGCCAGGUGGCGAAGAAGAGCGGGGAGUUUACGUACGAAUUCAAGUCGAGAGUGGCGCCUUUCGUGGUACGUGAGGGCAGCAAAUGUGGUCUGGAAUCGUGUCGCAGUUGUAAUGAUGCUUUGGCGUAUGGUGUCUGGCAGAAAAAUUAUGGACAAUAAGUUAUAGAUAUUCCAAUACUUGGAAAAUAGAAAUUUGAGCUUGCGUGAAAUGAAUUGGAUGUGAAAAUAAAUUGCCUUAUCAAUUGAAGUGUACCGAAAAUAUUACCAAUUUUUAAAAAUUACUCAUGUUGUGAGGUUGAAGUUGAAAGCAAAUAAAUAAUUUUAUCUCGA